UUACGGCCAUAUCACGUUAAAACAUCAGUUCCUGUAUGAUCACCAAAGUUAAGCAACAUUGAGCCUGGUCAGUACUUAGAUGGGUGACUGCUUGGGACUACCAGGUGCUGUAAG